rnacentral:lncRNA from 1 species
UUGUUUUGAUCUCAGUGUCAGAGGAUUCAAUCCAUGACUCCAAAGAAAAAUCAUCAUGGCUCCAGGGUGUGAUUGACCCACCUUCUCCAACUGGGUCCAGCCUCAUAGCAGCACAUUCAUCAAUGAAGUCCUCAAUGGCUCUGUCCACUAAUGACUGUUGUGCUUUCAUGAUUUGAGCACCUCUCCAGAAGUCUUUCAAUCAAGUCAAGCUGAUGACCAAAGUUAACUGGCACAGAAACAUGCUUCUUGAGUACUAUGAACUAUGUGGAAAACAUCUGGAAUUUAUAGAAUAUAGUUACCAGGGCAUUACCCAUUGUUCCUGGCCCAUCUCAAUAAUAUUGCCUGAUGCAGACACAUCACCAUCUCUUCCAUCCACUUCAGCUGUCCAGCAUCAUCAGACUAAGUUAAAAUGAGACAACUGCAGCUACACAUUUGCAAACUGGAUGAAUUAUAAACAAUAGGGGUUCCAGAAUGCUACCACGGCAGCCAAGGAGACACAUCAGCUUUGAUCAGGAACUUCUUGACUCCUAAUCCUGCUUCAGAGAGAAUGGACAUUUCUCAUCCUUUCCUUUGGGGAUAAAUCAUAAUUGUAAAGGUUCAUAAAGUUGCUGUGAAUAGCUCAGCCAGCGCUGCUGCAGAAGUGGAUGGAAGCCCACAGUGAGUCUGGCACCUGCCCUCCAGCCUGGGCUCAGGUGUCCAAAGCAAAUCCUCGUCCAUCAUCCAGGGUCAGUGAAGCUUGAAAGUGAGAGCCAAACCCACAGACACCAUCUGGGAAAGUGGAAAAAACUGUGAUGCACAAGGCAGAAAAAAUUGACUUUGAGGUUUGGCUGUGACUCUUCCCAAUAGGAAGAUUCUAGGCAAACCAUAACAGCACUCUGAGUCUAAAUUUUCUCCACCUAUAAAAU